rnacentral:rRNA from 1 species
UACGUAGGGGGCGAGCGUUGUCCGGAGUUACUGGGCGUAAAGGGCGUGCAGGCGGUGCGGUAAGUUUAGCGUGACAGUCUCCGGCUUAACUGGAGAGGCCGCUGAAAGCGCUGGACUUGAGGGCCAGAGAGGGACAUAGAAUCCGGGUGGAGUGGUGAAAUGCGUAGAUAUCCGGAGGAAUACCAAAGGCGAAGGCAGUGUCCUGGCUGGCAACUGACGCUGAGGCGCGAAAGCUAGGGGAGCGAACAGG